UUGCAACCAUAUCACGUUGAAACAUCGUUUCCCGCACAAUCACCGAAGUUAAGCCUCGUCGAGCCUGGGCAGUACCUAGAUGGGUAAACGCAUUGGAAUACCAAGUGCUAUAU